CUCUCUCUCUCUCUCUCUCUCUCUCUCUCUCUCUCUCUCUCUCUCUCUCUCUCUCAGCUUUGUAUUAGUUACCCGUUGACAGAAGUGACAGCCGCGUUUUCUCUUGUCAGAUGUAAACAAAGCGGUAGUUUCCUUCCAGCUGGUGAUAAAACUCUUUCUCGCUCUUCCUCACUGUCCCACGUCACGGAAGCAGUGUGUGUGUGUGUGUGUGUGUGUGUGUGAAGAAGAAAAUGUUAUAUUAUAUCUACGUGUUUAAAAGUUUCCUUCAUUUAAGUCCAAAGAGGCUGGCUGGCUGAUGCUAAGGAAGGAAGAAAGGGGUGGUGUUUAGGGGUCUGGGAUGGAAAGCGAGUGAUGUGUUUUGUAGCCUUCAGAUAAGAAAUAUUAACAAAGUUUACACAGUGGGAAAAUUUUGGUGGUGAGAGAGAAAAUGACUAAAAUAUUACCUCAAAUUUAACCAAACGUGGUGGAGCUUCACACUCCUCAGCUGACCCUAAUCAAACCAAGCCUAACCCAAAGAAGCCUACCCUAACUUCUGUCUGGUGCUUCCUCCUCCCCAAGACUGGCUAUCUCGUGUCUUAAUCUCAAGCUGGCCUAACCAAACUUUACCUAACCUAACCUAAGCAAUUCUAACCUAGCCAAACCUUACUUAAGCAAGCCUAACCUAGCCAAGCCUUACCUAACCUAACCUAACCUAACCUAACCUAGCCAAACCUUACCUAAGCAAGCCUAACCUAGCCAAGCCUUACCUAACCUAACCUAACCUCACCUAACCUAACCUAAAGAAACCUAGCCAAACUUAACAUAACCUAGCCUAACCAAACCUAACCUAACCUACAUCCUCUUCCCACGGCCCCACUUAACCAAACCUAAUGUAACUUUCAGAGCAACGGCAACCCUCCGAUCCGGCAAGCAAGUUUGCGGCAGCGAUGGCGGUGGCGGCGGCAGUGGUGGUGAGGUGGAUGGCAGGGACAGAGGGGCAGUACAGGCUGCGGACAUCAAGGAGAAGAGGAACGCACGGACAAGCAAGGUGUUAUUCGGCAGUCUGAUCCUGGACCUGCUCGGCUUGAAGGUGGUGCUGCCUGUGUGUCCUGCUCUCCUCGACUGUUACUCCAAGCACAACACCAGCGGCUUGUAUUCCUCUCAGCUCUCCUGUGUGACUUAUUACCAGCAUAUCAUCGGUUUCGCUGCGAGGUUCCAUUCUGUCUUGUUUGGCACUGAUUGGCGUGACAUUCAGCAUAGGCUUCACCGUCGGGCACACUGUGGGGGCUGCGUUCUCCCGCUGGGGAAGUACUGGGUGGUUCGCGGCCUCAGCUGUCUACGCACGCACUCUCACUGUGGCUAACAUAAUAUUCUUUACUGUCUUCUUCCAGGAAUCGCUGCCUGAGGGCAGAAGGAGGAGGGACAUCGGUGCCAGUUUGACCGAGGCUUGGGAGGUGAUCAAUCCUAGGGCUCUGUUCUCCGUCAGCUGUGUCAAGGGCCUGGGCAGAGAAGCCUGGAGUUAACGCUGAUCUUCGCGACCCACCACAAGCAUAGUUACGACUCGUUGGCGCAGGACCGCAAGUUUUCCUUCCUGGGCCUGGUCAUGGCAAUUACACAGAGAGGGUUUAUGCGAAGUGUUAAGACUGGAACUGAAAAAGCAACUGCCAAUUAGGCACACACCUACAUUGUGAUGCAGCUCCUUGGAGAUGGAGAGCUGGCUGCCUCAGAGGAUCAGGAAACACGAGAGGUUCACAGAGGCUCGCCUCGGGCUUCGGUCGUCGUGAGGAACCUGGUGUCAGCAGUUCACUACGUGCACAGGAAAAGCAUCAGUGUUCACGGAGACCUAAAGCCAGACAGGGGUGAAAAGGGUUGGUGUUGAGGAUAGACAGAAAAGAAAAGAAAAGAAAGGAAAGGUAAAAAAAGGAAGUUUUUUUGCAUUGAUUUUCCAUCUGCUUAUUUUAAAGAAUUUAUUGCAUGGAAUAUUAUUGAUCUCCAUCAUUUGUAUGGCCUUUAUAAUAAAAAGUAUGAAUUUAU